AGCUUGUUGGUAAGGUAACGGCUUACCAAGGCUAAGACGGCUAGGGGGCGUGAGAGCGCGAUCCCCCACAAUGGGACUGAGACACGGCCCAUACUCCUACGGGAGGCAGCAGUGAGGAAUAUUGUCCAAUGGACGCAAGUCUGAGACAGCAACGCCGCGUGAACGAUGAAGGCCUUCGGGUCGUAAAGUUCUUUUCUGGGGGACGAUAAUGACGGUACCUCAGGAAUAAGUCCCGGCUAACUACGUGCCAGCAGCCGCGGUAAAACGUAGGGGGCGAGCGUUAUCCGGAUUUAUUGGGCGUAAAGCGCACGUAGGCGGCGCGGUAAGUUGGACGUGAAAGCUCCCGGCUCAACUGGGAGAGGUCGUUCAAAACUAUCGUGCUCGAGGUUGGAAGAGGAGAGUAGAAUUCCCGGUGUAGUGGUGGAAUGCGUAGAUAUCGGGAGGAAUACCAGUGGCGAAAGCGACUCUCUGGUCCACACCUGACGCUGAGGUGCGAAAGCGUGGGUAGCGAACGGGAUUAGAUACCCCGGUAGUCCACGCUGUAAACGAUGGAUACUAGGUGUAGGGGGUCACUUAACCCCUCUGUGCCGGAGCAAACGCGUUAAGUAUCCCGCCUGGGGAUUACGGCCGCGAGGCUAAAACUCAAAGGAAUUGACGGGGGCCCGCACAAGCAGCGGAGCGUGUGGUUUAAUUCGAUGAUACGCGAAGAACCUUACCUGGGCUGAACUACGUGGUAGUAGAGAAGCGAAAGUGGAUCGACCCUUCGGGGAGCCUCGAUAGGUGCUGCAUGGCUGUCGUCAGCUCGUGUCGUGAGAUGUUGGGUUAAGUCCCGCAACGAGCGCAACCCUCGUCGUUAGUUAUACGUGUCUAGCGAGACUGCCGGUAUCAAACCGGAGGAAGGUGGGGAUGACGUCAAGUCAGCAUGGUCUUUAUGUCCAGGGCUACACACACGCUACAAUGGCUGGUACAACAGGUUGCCACAUCGCGAGAUGGAGCUAAUCCCUAAAGCCAGUCUCAGUUCGGAUUGCAGUCUGCAACUCGACUGCAUGAAGGUGGAGUUGCUAGUAACCGCGCGUCAGCAUAGUGCGGUGAAUGCGUUCCCGGGCCUUGUACACACCGCCCGUCACAUCAUGGAAGUCGGUAACACCUGAAGUCGGUGACCUAACCGCAAGGAAGGAGCUGCCUAAGGUGGGACCGGUAACUGGGAUGAAGUCGUAACAAGGUAGCCGUACUAGUACGAUAGCUCG
rnacentral:rRNA from 1 species